AUGUUCGUUCUCUGGAAGAAAAACAACAACAAUACCAUUGAAGCAACUCAAGAACCUUCUUCCCCUAAACGCUUUACUAUUAACCCGAUGCAGAUCCGCUUCAUACAGAUCUACUUCUCUUGCGAAGGAGUUUUAUCCCGUAGAGGAGUAAUUGAUGUUGGGCAUGAAGUUGUUGGAAAGGGUUGCCCUAAUCUGAAAAGUGCACACCUUCAUAAGUGUUAA